rnacentral:ncRNA from 2 species
UUCAUAGCAAAUUUUUCAGGUGCCCUUAAAGGGAGAAUAGGGAACCGGGUGAGAUUCCCGGACGGACCCGCCACUGUAAGCAGAUACAAACCCGGCGGAACCACUGGUAUGGCCUACCAUGCCGGGAAGGGCCGGGGGAGGUUAAGCUGCGAAGUCAGGAGACCUGCCUGAAAAAUCUUAAUCCU